UACAGAGGUCUCAAGCGUUGUUCGGAUUCAUUGGGCGUAAAGGGAGCGUAGGUGGCGGGGUUAGUCAGGUGUGAAAUCUCGGGGCUCAACCCCGAAACUGCACUUGAUACUGCCUUGCUAGAGUACUGGAGAGGAGAUUGGAAUUUACGGUGUAGCAGUGAAAUGCGUAGAUAUCGUAAGGAAGACCAGUGGCGAAGGCGAAUCUCUGGACAGUUACCGACACUGAGCUCGAAGGCCAGGGGAGCAAACGGGG
rnacentral:rRNA from 1 species